GAUGAAGAACGUAGCAAACUGCGAUACUUGGUGUGAAUUGCAGAAUCCCGUGAACCAUCGAGUCUUUGAACGCAAGUUGCGCCUCAAGCCAUUAGGUUGAGGGCACGUCUGCCUGGGCGUCACAUAUCGUUGCCUGACGCCAGUUUCCUCGUGAUGGGUGACUGUGCAGGGCGAAUGAUGGCUUCCCGUGAGCAUUGUUGCCUCAUGGUUGGUUGAAAAUUGAGUCCUUGGUAGGGAGCGCCGUGAUAGAUGGUGGUUGAGUGACGAACGAGACCCAAUCAUGUGAGACCCCUACCGAAUUUGGCCUUCAUGACCCACAUGCGUCUUUGGAACGCUCAUGACGAGACCUCAGGUCAGGCGGGGCUACCCGCUGAGUUUAAGCAUAUCAAUAAGCGGAGGA
rnacentral:misc_RNA from 1 species